rnacentral:rRNA from 1 species
CUACGGGCGGCUGCAGUGGGGAAUAUUGCGCAAUGGGGGAAACCCUGACGCAGUGACGCCGUGUGAGUGAUGAAGGUUUUCGGAUCGUAAAGCUCUGUCAGACGGGAAGAAUAAGAACAGUAAAAAUAUUGCUGUUUGAUGACGGUACCGUCAGAGGAAGCACCGGCUAACUCCGUGCCAGCAGCCGCGGUAAUACGGAGGGUGCAAACGUUGUUCGGAAUUACUGGGCGUAAAGCGCAUGUAGGCGGAUAUGUAGGUCAGAUGUGAAAUCCCUUGGCUCAACCAAGGAAGUGCAUCUGAAACCCCAUAUCUUGAGUACGAGAGAGGGAAGUGGAAUUCCCAGUGUAGAGGUGAAAUUCAUAGAUAUUGGGAAGAACACCGGUGGCGAAGGCGGCUUUCUGGCUCGUAACUGACGCUGAGAUGCGAAAGCGUGGGGAGCAAACAGGAUUAGAUACCCCAGUAGUC